rnacentral:rRNA from 1 species
GUAGUAACACGUGGGUGAUCUGCCCUGCACUUCGGGAUAAGCUUGGGAAACUGGGUCUAAUACCGGAUAGGAGCCAUCUUUAGUGUGGUGGUUGGAAAGUUUUUUCGGUGUAGGAUGAGCUCGCGGCCUAUCAGCUUGUUGGUGGGGUAAUGGCCUACCAAGGCGGCGACGGGUAGCCGGCCUGAGAGGGUGUACGGCCACAUUGGGACUGAGAUACGGCCCAG